rnacentral:misc_RNA from 1 species
UAUACUCUCCAUCGAUAGUGUUUGUGGAAGUGCGCGGCUGCCUGCAAUUCCGUCCAAAUUAGUCACAAUAGGGCGAUAUUAUGGACUUCACACGUGAGAUUUUGAGUUUCCAGUUUGGCACCUAUGCCAAUUAUGUUGGUGCACACUUCUGGAAUCAGCAGGAGGCAAACUUUGUGUAUGACGGCUCCAGCAGCCAGGUGGCCGAGGAACAGCUGCCGCAAAACGAUGUACUGUACAGAGAAGGUCUCAACGACUAUGGCCAGACUACCUAUACUCCUCGUCUGCUCUCCGUUGACCUGGCUGGCAACUUGGCCCAUCUGCCAAUCGUGGGAGAAUUAUAUGGCAACUAUGUACAGCGUAACGAGGAGCUGUUGCCCCUCACAACAGGCAAUCAUCUACAGAAGACUAGACAGAGUGCUGAGCAAAAUAACCUCUCCACCGUCGAUCAGUUGGAAGUGCGCGAGCAGCCGCAAGUCCCGAUAUCCGAGUAUCAGCGGGAUCUGCUUAAGGGAGCUAUAGAGGCCGGCAAGAACUAUCAACUGGCCGAUACAACGCGUAGCUGGGCUGACUACCUGUACGCUAGAUACCAUCCGCGCACACUCAAUGUACUGCCGGACUUAAUUCGCGACAGCAAUGUUCAGGCUUUGGCCACACAAGCAGCUGGAAAGGAGAUCUGGGAUGGGGACGCCUUCAACGAAGAUUUCUGCAACCGCAUUCGCCAAUAUGUGGAGGAGUGCGAGGGCCUACAGGGCUUCCACAUUCUUUUUGACAUAGACGAUGGCUUCAGUGGCCUGGCCAGCAAGUGCAUGGAACAUUUGAACGAUGAAUAUAGUCGCGUAAGCUUUGUUCUGCCGCUGCACUACCCACGGAUUCCUUCAUAUAACCAAGCAGAUCCCCGAACUGCCCACAGUAUUCGCGUGGUGAACAGCGUGCUGAGCUAUUACCAUCUCAGCGAGCAGGCCACGAUGUUCACACCGCUAGCCACGCUAGAGACCAUCUGGCGGAACAACACCUUACAGUCCCGUCGCAUGCCAGGCCUCGAAUGGAAAACUGGAAACCUUUACCAGACUUCGGCUGUGCUCGCCGCCUUCAUGGACACCAUGACGCUCAGCUACCGUCUGCGCCAGACGCCCCAGUCGCUGGUGCGGUUCUGUGAAAAUGUCUGCCCGGUUGGACGGAAGAUGACAGCAGCUGCCAUGGCCCUGCCACUUGGAAUGCAGCAGGAGCAGGACCUGAUCGACUAUAUGGACCACAGCGGCGACCAAUCACUAUUGACCCAGCUGACGCCAGGUUGCGAGGCUGGUACCUCUUAUGUGGUGCAGUCGGUGAUGGCCCGCGGAAUUCCCACCAGUCGAUUGAAACGUCCUCAGGAGACGGCCGGACCCCAGCUACGGAUGGCUGCCUAUGGCUGCAACAGUGUCUCUCAGAUGCUGCAGCUGUACUAUCAGUGCAGCUUCCAUGGCAGUGUCACCAAUGCUGCCUCCACUCCCCUGCCCUUCAAGACUCAAUUGCCUUUCCCCUACGAGAUAUUCCAGCCGAACAUCGCCACGGACGGCUUCAAGGUUGCUGGGGGCGGGGAACGCGAGUCAAGUACCCGCGUGGAGUCGACUCCAGUGCUGGCAGCCCUGCAGAACUCUACCAAACUUGGCGACCAUCUCGAUAAUCUCCAUACCCAGACCCAUCGUGUCCAAAUUGGAAAACUGCAGUCGUACUCCCAGUCGGCCGUCGAUCGGGAGGAGUACGAAACGGCCCUGGACAAGCUUCUCGAGUUCCGCGACAACUAUGCCGAUCAGCAGUACCUCUUUGUACUAAAAUUGGUCACAUCCGGUUUUAUAAAGUAGACAAAUUAUUUUUCGAAUAUGAGGAACAAUUUGCUUCCUUUUAGGAACAAGUCUUUCAGAAAUAUAUUGCCAAUAAAUAAACUUUGAAAGUUUCAGAUCUCUAUUGGGGGGGGGGGGACCAUUUCUUGCGGAGGCUCCGUGGUAUGGUAUAUGUCAUAUGUAUUUCUUACGAACUUUAAUAGAUUUGGACCUGGUCUGUUAAUAAAAGUCACAUUUUUACCUUGUUGCCUAUUAGCUUUUAAUCUUAAUCUCCUAAUCUUAAUUUCACUUUCGAACAGUUUUGCGGAAAUGGGACCAGGAAUCCCCCCAUUUGUGGGGCAGUUCACAGUUUUCAAAUCUAACGAUUUUCGUUGCGUUUUGGGUAAAAUUAAAAUGGCCCACACUUUGUUCUAUGCUUAUUUGAUUUCCGGCCCCGAUAAGGGCUCUGGCUCUGGUGCAGUCGAAUCGAUGGGAAAGCCAAAACCAACGCAGAGGAACAAGAAAAAAAGAACAACAAAAAGUUUUUAUUUGCAUUUCUUGGGCAUUUCGCUGCAAAACAGAAAGUGAAUCGAAAGAAGUCUGCAGGUAUGACCUGGUGUUGGUCCUGGUCCUGGCCCAGGAGAGCUCUUUUCGUUUCCCUCUCCCACCCCCAGCUACAAGGAGCUUUUUCAUCUGGAAAAGCUCAACGGGAGCCAGAAAGGAAGGCGAGCUUCGACGGGGCUGAAUCUUUAGAUACCCUUUCACAUCGUUCGUUCUAUGGAAGCAAUUUACAUGUACCUUCGCUGAGAUAUGUAGUACAAUGCUUAAGUACAAUGAUAUGGGAUCUGGUUCUAGUAUAAACCUGAAAUUUUCAACGUUACACAUCGUCAUAUACUAGAAUCGGAGAUGCUUCCAUCCUGGGUGUUGAUCUUCCCGUCAAAAUCACAUUACUCUCUGCAAGAGUAUCGAAAUCCAACUCAUUUUACACAGAUUCUUCUUCUCGUUUGGCCGUAUUCUGCUGUUUCCCACUCCACUCUACUUCGCUCCACCCUUCCCCACAAUCACUUUCUAUACAUAUAAACAAUUGAAAUGAAUUUGUAUCCUGCACACACACACACAAACACACACGCAACAAGAAGAGCAACAAAAAAAGGGGAAACUUUGCCGACAAACUUUGACUUUGGUUAUUGUUACAGUUUAACUUUGUUGCUUUUGCCAUGCCCCCUCCUUGUUCCUAUUUUGGUACCCUCUACAGGGCAGCGGUACACUCUGCGAGUGCAAGUGUAAUCGUAUUCUGCCUUUUCGCGGAGUGUUUGUAACCAGCGGAAGCAGGUCUUGUCUUAUGAACAUGUCUCUCUCUGGACGCAUGAAUAACGAAUGGGACUGGAAUCAAUAAAGGAAAAACACAUUGUACUAGCAGCUUCUUCAACUGGUAGCGCGUGAUCCAUGUGUUUCGGAGUACAAUGAAAACUCUACGCUUUCCCAAGCGGUCAACCAAGUGGCUGCUCCGGGUUCAAUUAUCGAAACUACACUCAGAGGAACAACGAAAAAAUAACUGACUUGAUCGAUCGCCUCCAGCCACGGCAAACACCUACGGUGGGAGUCAGUCAAAGGAAGCUGGUGCUCGUAACAGCGAGUGGAUAAGUGGUUAAGUGGAAAAGAGGAAAAGAGGAAACGAGGGUAUCUUCAGGUCUAGACACUGGUCAAUUAGAUUCUCAGUUGCUCGCUUCGUUGCUCUUUUUCUUGCGCCAUGUGCUCUGCCUUUGGUCUGCCCUUGUCGACGCUCUUGCUGUUAUUUCCGCUGUUGCUGUUGUCGCCAACGCAGACGAAGCUGUCGCUGACGCUGACGCAGCCCACAGGGGCGAGGGCAAAGGGGCGUGGAAAACGAAACUUUUCAAAUAAAAUGAUUUCUUAUUUAGGCAUCCGAUUUGAGACACGCCCCUUCGUCUACUUCCCCACACCAGGCGGCCCUUUGACAGGACUCUUCUGUUUCUGUGAGAAGAGCGAUACCCCGAUACUCCGAUUUGGAAUGCAAAUUUCAGAUGGUAAUGGAAUCGGAAUAGGACUUACUUCAAUAAGAACAAGCUCUUUAUUUUCUCCAUAUACUAUGUCUGUACACAUGCAGAUACAGUGCAUAUGCAUACAGAGGAAUCUGGUACAGAGCUGUAGAUACGAUCUGCCUUUGAUUAGGUGGAGUCGGCGGAUGGAGCCUCGGAGGAUGGAGCCUCUGAGGAUGGAGCCUCGGAAGGUGGAGGCUCUGUA